UACGUAGGGUGCGAGCGUUGUCCGGAAUUACUGGGCGUAAAGAGCUCGUAGGCGGUCUGUUGCGUCGGCUGUGAAAACCCGGGGCUCAACUCCGGGCCUGCAGCCGAUACGGGCAGACUAGAGUUCGGCAGGGGAGACUGGAAUUCCUGGUGUAGCGGUGAAAUGCGCAGAUAUCAGGAGGAACACCGGUGGCGAAGGCGGGUCACUGGCCCGAUACUGACGCUGAGGCACGAAAGCGUGGGGAGCAAACAGG
rnacentral:rRNA from 1 species